rnacentral:tRNA from 1 species
GAAUAUAGCUCAGUGGUAGAGCGCAUGCUUAGCAUGCAUGAGGUCCUGGGUUCAAUCCCCAGUACCUUCA